rnacentral:rRNA from 1 species
UUAAUUAAUUAUUAUCAGCGCGGCCUAUCAGCUUGUUGGCGGGGUAACGGCCCACCAAGGCAACGACGGGUAGCUGGUUUGAGAGAACGAUCAGCCACACUGGAACUGAGACACGGUCCAGACUCCUACGGGAGGCAGCAGUGGGGAAUCUUGCGCAAUGGGCGAAAGCCUGACGCAGCAACGCCGCGUGCGGGAUGACGGCCUUCGUGGUUGUAAACCGCUUUCAGCAGGGACGAAAAUGACGGUACCUGCAGAAGGAGCCCCGGCUAACUACGUGCCAGCAGCCGCGGUAAUACGUAGGGGGCAAGCGUUGUCCGGAUUCAUUGGGCGUAAAGAGCUCGUAGGCGGUUCAGUAAGUUGGGUGUUAAAGCUCCGGGCUCAACCCGGAGAGGCCACCCAAUACUGCUGUGACUAGAGUCCAGUAGAGGAGCGUGGAAUUCCUGGUGUAGCGGUGAAAUGCGCAGAUAUCAGGAGGAACACCGGUAGCGAAGGCGGCGCUCUGGGCUGGAACUGACGCUGAGGAGCGAAAGCGUGGGUAGCAAACAGGAUUAGAUACCCUGGUAGUCCACGCCGUAAACGUUGGGCACUAGGUGUGGGGAGGAGUCAACCCUCUCUGUGCCGUAGCUAACGCAUUAAGUGCCCCGCCUGGGGAGUACG